UAUCAUGGUUGCGCUGCAACGGUGUGGAGCCUGGGCGUCCUUUUGUUCGUUCUAGUGUGUGGAGAGCUGCCAUUCUGGAAUGAGAGGGAGAUCGCUGCUGGACACCUGAUCUUCAAAGCUGGUGUGUCUGAGGCCUGCCAUCACCUGAUCACAAGGUGCCUGACGAAGGAUCCGAAUAAGCGACCCAGCCUCGAGAUGAUCCUGAAGCACAACUUGUUUCCAGAGAUCCUUAGGAACUAAGCCCAGAAAGCCCCCAACAAUUAACAAGUCUAACCUACUGGAAGAAGCAACCAGAUUCGGGCCUAAGCACCUUGAUACCUGGCAGAAGAUGAAACGUUUUAGUCACCACAACAAUCUACGAUCAACGACCACGUCUGUCGUCUGUCUCUUUUGUCCUGAAAGCACUUUGACCUUCUCUGUGGUGGUUUAUGAGACGAGAUUAAACAAAAG